rnacentral:rRNA from 1 species
AGCGGGAAGAGCUCAAAUUUAUAAUCUGGCACCUUCGGUGUCCGAGUUGUAAUCUCUAGAAGUGUUUUCCGCGUUGGACCGCACACAAGUCUGUUGGAAUACAGCGGCAUAGUGGUGAAACCCCCGUAUAUGGUGCGGACGCCCAGCGCUUUGUGAUACACUUUCAAUGAGUCGAGUUGUUUGGGAAUGCAGCUCAAAUUGGGUGGUAAAUUCCAUCUAAAGCUAAAUAUUGGCGAGAGACCGAUAGCGAACAAGUACCGUGAGGGAAAGAUGAAAAGCACUUUGGAAAGAGAGUUAACAGUACGUGAAAUUGUUGGAAGGGAAACGCUUGAAGUCAGACUUGCUUGCCGGAGCUUGCUUCGGUUUGCAGGCCAGCAUCAGUUUUCCGGGGUGGAUAAUAACGGUUUGAAGGUAGCAGUCUCGGCUGUGUUAUAGCUUUCCGUUGGAUACAUCCUGGGGGACUGAGGAACGCAGCGUGCUUUUUGCGAAAGACUCGUCUUUUUCACGCUUAGGAUGCUGGUGGAAUGGCUUUAAACGACCCGUCUU